rnacentral:rRNA from 1 species
GACGAGGGCCCCAAGCGUUAUCCGGAAUUACUGGGCGUAAAGCGUCUGUAGGGGGUUUUAAUAGUCCAGCGUUAAAUGUUAGGGCUUAACCUUAACGCUGCGCAGGAUACGUUAAAACUAGAGGAUGUGAGAGGCUGACGGAACCUACGGUGUAGGGGUGAAAUCCGUUGAUAUCGUAGGGAACACCAAAAGCGAAGGCAGUCAGCUGGCGCAUUUCUGACCCUGAAAGACGAAAGCGUGGGGAGCAAAAAGG